CGCCCAGACUCCUACGGGAGGCAGCAGUGGGGAAUAUUGCACAAUGGGGGGAACCCUGAUGCAGCGACGCCGCGUGAGUGAAGAAGUAUUUCGGUAUGUAAAGCUCUAUCAGCAGGGAAGAAAAUGACGGUACCUGACUAAGAAGCCCCGGCUAACUACGUGCCAGCAGCCGCGGUAAUACGUAGGGGGCAAGCGUUAUCCGGAUUCACUGGGUGUAGAGGGAGCGUAGACGGCGACGCAAGUCUGGAGUGAAAGCCCGGGGCCCAACCCCGGGACUGCUCUGGAAACUGCGUCGCUGGAGUACGGGAGGGGCAGGCGGAAUUCCUGGUGUAGCGGUGAAAUGCGUAGAUAUCAGGAGGAACACCGGCGGCGAAGGCGGCCUGCUGGACCGUGACUGACGUUGAGGCUCGAGAGCGUGGGGAGCAAACAGGAUUAGAUACCCCAGUAAC
rnacentral:rRNA from 1 species